rnacentral:misc_RNA from 1 species
AGCACGCAGGGCUAUCGCUC